rnacentral:rRNA from 1 species
UACGUAGGUGGCAAGCGUUAUCCGGAAUGAUUGGGCGUAAAGGGUGAGCAGGCGGUUCUUCAAGUCAUGAGUGAAAGGCAGAAGCUUAACUUCUGUUGGCUGAUGAGACUGGAGAACUUGAGUACAGGAGAGGGCGGCGGAACUCCAUGUGUAGCGGUAAAAUGCGUAGAUAUAUGGAAGAACACCAGUGGCGAAGGCGGCUCUCUGGUCUGCAACUGACGCUGAGGCUCGCAAGCAUGGGUAGCGAACAGG